rnacentral:RNase_P_RNA from 2 species
CGAGUCGACCGGGCGGUCGCGUCGGCGGGCCACGGCCCGCCGCCGAGGAACGUCCGGACUCCACAGGGCAGGGUGGUUGCUAACGGCAACCCGGGGUGACCCGCGGGACAGUGCCACAGAAAACAGACCGCCGGCCCGUAACGGGACGGUAAGGGUGAAACGGUGGGGUAAGAGCCCACCAGCACCCCGGGUGACCGGGGUGGCUCGGUAAACCCCACCCGGAGCAAGGCCAAGCAAGGGCCGGUCAUCGCAGGAUGACGGCCCGGCGCAGACGCUUGAGGGCGGCCCGCCCGAUGUCUGCGGGUAGGCCGCACGAGCCUGUCGGCGACGGCAGGCCGAGAUGGAUGACCGCCGCCGGCGCGGGCCCCGCGAGGGGUACGCGCCGGGCACAGAAUCCGGCGUACAGGUCGACUCGUCCG